UUGACCUCGGAUCAGGUAGGAAUACCCGCUGAACUUAAGCAUAUCA
rnacentral:rRNA from 96 species